rnacentral:rRNA from 1 species
CAAAGGAAUAGACGGGGGCCCGCACAAGCGGUGGAGCAUGUGGUUUAAUUCGAAGCAACGCGAAGAACCUUACCAGGUCUUGACAUCACCUAGCAAGCCAUGGAAACAUGGCCCUCCUUCGGGACUGGGUGACAGGUGGUGCAUGGUUGUCGUCAGCUCGUGUCGUGAGAUGUUGGGUUAAGUCCCGCAACGAGCGCAACCCUUGCCUUUAGUUGCCAGCAUUAAGUUGGGGACUCUAAAGGGACUGCCGGCGACAAGUCGGAGGAAGGUGGGGAUGACGUCAAAUCAUCAU